GAUGAAGAACGCAGCGAAAUGCGAUAAGUAAUGUGAAUUGCAGAAUUCAGUGAAUCAUCGAAUCUUUGAACGCACAUUGCGCCCGCUAGUAUUCUGGCGGGCAUGCCUGUCCGAGCGUCAUUUCAACCCUCAAGCCCCCGGGCUUGGUGUUGGGGAUCGGCGGAAGCCCCCUGCGGGCACAACGCCGUCCCCCAAAUACAGUGGCGGUCCCGCCGCAGCUUCCAUUGCGUAGUAGCUAACACCUCGCAACUGGAGAGCGGCGCGGCCACGCCGUAAAACACCCAACUUCUGAAUGUUGACCUCGAAUCAGGUAGGAAUACCCGCUGAACUUAAGCAUAUCAAUAAGCGGAGGA
rnacentral:misc_RNA from 1 species